rnacentral:rRNA from 1 species
UGGGGAAUAUUGCACAAUGGGCGGAAGCCUGAUGCAGCAACGCCGCGUGAGGGAUGACGGCCUUCGGGUUGUAAACCUCUUUUAGCAGGGAAGAAGCGAAAGUGACGGUACCUGCAGAAAAAGCGCCGGCUAACUACGUGCCAGCAGCCGCGGUAAUACGUAGGGCGCAAGCGUUAUCCGGAAUUAUUGGGCGUAAAGAGCUCGUAGGCGGUUUGUCGCGUCUGCUGUGAAAUCCCGAGGCUCAACCUCGGGUCUGCAGUGGGUACGGGCAGACUAGAGUGCGGUAGGGGAGAUUGGAAUUCCUGGUGUAGCGGUGGAAUGCGCAGAUAUCAGGAGGAACACCGAUGGCGAAGGCAGAUCUCUGGGCCGUUACUGACGCUGAGGAGCGAAAGGGUGGGGAGCAAACAGG